CCUACGGGAGGCAGCAGUCGAGAAUCAUUCACAAUGGGGGAAACCCUGAUGGUGCGACGCCGCGUGGGGGAAUGAAGGUCUUCGGAUUGUAAACCCCUGUCAUGUGGGAGCAAAUUAAAAAGAUAGUACCACAAGAGGAAGAGACGGCUAACUCUGUGCCAGCAGCCGCGGUAAUACAGAGGUCUCAAGCGUUGUUCGGAAUCACUGGGGGUAAAGCGUGCGUAGGCUGUUUCGUAAGUCGUGUGUGAAAGGCGCGGGCUCAACCCGCGGACGGCACAUGAUACUGGGAGACUAGAGUAAGGGAGGGGGAACCGGAAUUCUCGGUGUAGCAGUGAAAUGCGUAGAUAUCGAGAGGAACACUCGUGGCGAAGGCGGGUUCCUGGACAUUAACUGACGCUGAGGCACGAAGGCCAGGGGAGCGAAAGGGAUUAGAUACCCUUGUAGUC
rnacentral:rRNA from 1 species